AUUGAACGCUGGCGGCAUGCCUUACACAUGCAAGUCGAACGGUAACAGGUUAAGCUGACGAGUGGCGAACGGGUGAGUAAUAUAUCGGAACGUGCCCAGUCGUGGGGGAUAACUGCUCGAAAGAGCAGCUAAUACCGCAUACGACCUGAGGGUGAAAGCGGGGGAUCGUAAGACCUCGCGCGAUUGGAGCGGCCGAUAUCAGAUUAGGUAGUUGGUGGGGUAAGAGCCCACCAAGCCAACGAUCUGUAGCUGGUCUGAGAGGACGACCAGCCACAUUGGGACGGGGACACGGCCAAGACUCCUGCGGGAGGCAGAAGUGGGGAAUUUUGGAAAAUGGGCGAAAGCCUGACCCAGCCAUGCCGCGGGCGGGAAGAAGGCUUUGGGGUUGUAAACCGCUUUUGUCAGGGAAAAAAAGGUUCUGGUUAAACCCUGGGACUCAUGACGGUACCUAAAGAAUAAGCACCGGCUAACUACGUGCCAGCCGCCGCCGUAA
rnacentral:rRNA from 1 species